rnacentral:misc_RNA from 1 species
AAGUCGUAACAAGGUAACCGUAGGUGAACCUGCGGUUGGAUCAUUACCAAUUCUUUCUUUUUUCGCGGAAGACUUUGUACUCUUAACUUGGGGUCUCAAAAUCGACAUCCUUUGGGAGGUUCGAGAUUGAAUGCACUGAGGAGGGAGGAAGAGUCUUUGCGAAGGAAGUGGAAACCAACUUGUGAACCUGUAAUUGUGCAUUGGCGGCUGUUCAGUGCCUUGUGCUGAACAUGCAUUCAGUUGCGAAGGCCGUCAAUUUACCAUUUCCCUUCAAUCUUUUAUUUUUUUUUACCAUUUGUGACUUUUCUUGCCUUCUUUAUUCUUUCUCUGAAAUGGAAAAGAAACCAAGAACAACUAUUAACAAUGGAUCUCUUGGCUCUC